rnacentral:tRNA from 1 species
GUCGAGGUGGCGGAAUCGGCAGACGCGCACGUUUGAGGGGCGUGUGGGUAACACCGUAGGGGUUCAAGUCCCCUCCUCGACACCA